rnacentral:lncRNA from 1 species
AUGUUUGCAGGUCAAAAAUUACACUCAGCUCUCAGAUCUGGUGAUUUUUGUUCAGAAGCCAAUACAUCAACAACAUCACAAGAAUUUGAUGAAUGUGCUUUGUCCAUUGUAAAUGCUAGGUGGGUGUUAAAGGACGGGACCAGACGACCGGAACCAUGGGAGGAAGAGCAGGCAGGCUGCAGGAGAGGAAGGAGGAAGGAACCGCAGGAGAGGGUGUGGCGUGAGGCCGAUGGAAACCACAGCUAUCUGUUGGGCAGGAAAGAGAAACCAGAUACAGCUUCCUGGGCAAUAGAACUUCAGAGACAAGCACAGUUUGCUGGCAACUCCAGGAGGCUGAAGCCACCAUUCCCGCAGCCUUUGGGGAACCAAGCAUUAUCAGUCCUUAGGACAGACGACUCAGGCAAACCAGCCAGCAGCACCAGCAGCAGCACAAAACAACCUUUCAGACCCACACGAGAGGACAAGAUUGUAAUGCCUCCGUGACAGCAUUGCUUUAUUGAUGCAAGGGCUGUCUCAGGAGCUGAAAUGGGCCAGUUACAAACAGAAUUGGUUCUGCCGUCAUAGAAAACCACAAAAGCAUAUGUGUUUUCAGACACAAAAGCUACCACACUUUCUUUGGAAAACAAGGCACAGGUGAAAAAAAAAAAAAAUCUCACUUCUAAACAGAAUGGAAAGCAUGGCUAACUUGAGAUUUAUUUAAUUACAGUGUCUUUCUCCGGGCUAAUCAGUUUUAAAACCCAUUCAUAUUGGUGCCGAUGAGCCAAUAAAAGAUCCAGAAGAAAAGAAGUAUUAUAUCA